UACAGAGGGUGCGAGCGUUGUUCGGAAUUACUGGGCGUAAAGCGCGCGCAGGCGGCCUUUUAAGUCUGACGGUGAAAUGCCGGGGCUCAACCCCGUGCCCGCCGGAGAUACUGGGAGGCUGGAGACGAGUAGAGGCAAGCGGAAUUCCGGGGUGUAGCAGGUGGAAUGCGUAGGAGAUCCGGAAGAACACCGGAGGCGAAGGCGGCUUGCUGGGCUCGGUCUGACGCUGAGGAGCGAAAGCGUGGGGAGCGAACAGG
rnacentral:rRNA from 1 species